rnacentral:lncRNA from 1 species
UGGGUGGGAGAUCGUGGGUCUAGCACCAGCUAUUUUAAAACUUUGCUUGGGUUAGCUCUUGCCUGGCAGGAUUUUAGUCAUGUAUAAUAAAGUCAUCUUUUGCAUAUGUAUACAGAAAAUAUUUUGAUAAAGUUUAGUUAAUGUCCUUUUUUAAAAAAAGAAUCCUAUGUUUAACUACAUGUCCUAUGCAAAAGGCAAAAACGAUCAAAGUGAAAAGGAGGAGAGCUAGGGCUCAACAAGUAAAGUAUGUGCUAAGCACAUGUGUGGGCUUGAGUCUAGAUCCCCAGCAACAACAUGGAAAGCUGCAAAGCACCACACUCACACACACACAUGCAUAUGUACAUACCAGACACCACCACACACAUGUACAUGUAUACACCAGAUACCACCACACACAUGUACACACCAAACACUACCACACACAUGUACAUGUACACACCAGACACCACCACACACAUGCACAUGUACACACCAGACAGCACCACACACACAAUGCACAUGUACACACCAGACACUACCACACAUGCAUAUGUGCACACCAGACACCACCACACAUGCACAUGUACACACCAGACACCACCACACACACGUACAUGUAUACACUAGAUACUGCCACAUGCAUAUGUGCACACCAGACACCACCACACACAUGCAC